UACGUAGGGUGCGAGCGUUAAUCGGAAUUACUGGGCGUAAAGCGUGCGCAGGCGGUGAUGUAAGACCGAUGUGAAAUCCCCGGGCUUAACCUGGGAACUGCAUUGGUGACUGCAUUGCUCGAGUAUGGCAGAGGGGGGUGGAAUUCCACGUGUAGCAGUGAAAUGCGUAGAGAUGCGGAGGAACACCGAUGGCGAAGGCAGCCCCCUGGGCUAGCACUGACGCUCAGGCACGAAAGCGUGGGGAGCAAACAGG
rnacentral:rRNA from 1 species